CACGAGUAGAAUGAUAACAACUAAGUAAACGUCUGUCACUCAGUCGAUGGUCGACAGAAUUUUGAUCAGCAGCCAAAAAGGAGAGCUCCCGAGCAGACACAACAGAUCAAAGGAGAUCGGGAUGGUCGGCGGAUCGGGGGACGGAGCAAACGGCAGCUGAUCAAAGGCCCCCAAACCUUGAUUGAAGGCUAAGGGACAACACUGACGAUUGCAGUGCAAAUGAUAAUUUAUUAGAUUGCGAUCUUUGGCCUGGGACAGAAAUGCUACAGCCAGUCAGCCAGCCAGUCGUGGGCUCCUUUGGCAUUUUUAUUGAAUUAAUUUUAGUCGUCAUUGUCUGCAUUUCUAAUUAAACCGAAUUAAUCAUGAGCAGCCGCCAGAGUCAGUCGGUCGAAGAGUCAGAGUCAGAGUCUCGCAUUGCACUAAUUAUGCGUAGAGUAGAACCAAACUGGGCUAAACCAAUGGAUAGAGUGGAGUCUCCAUCGGGGAAGAAACUAUUGUACAUUAGUUGGAGCCCUGGAGCAAACGCAGCAGCAGCAGCUGCUGGCGGCAGUCUCAAAAGCAUUUUGCGACAAUGAUGCUCUCGAUGAUGCUCACGAUGAUGACGAUGAUGAUGCCCACGAUUAUGAUCAAACACUUGAUACCGCAAUCGCAAUGGGAACUGGAACUGAAACUGAAACUGGAACUGAACAUUGUCAAAGCUAUGGUCUGAACUCGAUGCCAGCUUUGUUGACUUUGAUGUCUACCGACACGCACGACACUCUUAAUGUUAUUGUUUAGACUCCUUUAUAGAGCCCAGACCAUGCCCUGGAUAUGAUCAGCAGAAAUACUCUGAUUCAUCAAGAGGGAUAGCCCAAGCAAUUUACAAGUGACUGUAACAAAGGAUUAUUGAAUUUGGAAACUAUUAGCUUGUUUCAUAUUCCUCAAAAGUUCCACACAAUUUGUUCAUUUAAUGCUCCAGGAAAUAUACUUCUAAGCCAGUUUUAAGCCACUUGUCACACAACAAAAGAGCCCCACAAAAGCGUCGCAAAUGUUAGGCUUAGAGGCAGGCACAUUCGCCUGCCACAGACAUGUCAGGUAUGCCGCCCUGAGAGUGUGUGUGUGUAACCUGCCCCUUUUUAAACCGCUUAAUAAAGUCACUUAAGUCCGACCUUUUGACUACGCUACAAUUGACACCAAAACACACACAGACACACAUCAGUAAAAGGCCCAAACACAGCCACGACGUCGGAGUGUUUGUGUGUUGACAAAAGUUGUCCAGGACCCUGGGGCGCGCUGCCAUUGUUGCUGCCGUUACAAGACACAUACACCGAAUGGAGGGUAUGGGCGACAGACAUGGGAG
rnacentral:lncRNA from 1 species